rnacentral:rRNA from 1 species
ACGUAGGCAGCAAGCGUUGUUCGGAAUUACUGGGCGUAAAGAGUGUGUAGGCGGUUCUCUAUGUUCGGUGUGAAAUCUCCCGGCUUAACUGGGAGGGUGCGCCGAAAACUGGAGGGCUUGAGUAUGGGAGAGGAAAGCGGAAUUCCUGGUGUAGCGGUGAAAUGCGUAGAUAUCAGGAGGAACACCUGCGGUGUAGACGGCUUUCUGGACCAUCACUGACGCUGAGACACGAAAGCGUGGGUAGCAAACAGGAUUAGAUACCCUGGUAGUCCACGCCCUAAACGAUGCAUACUUGGUGUGAGCCGUUCAUUCGGUUCGUGCCGGAGCUAACGCGUUAAGUAUGCCGCCUGGGGAGUACGGUCGCAAGGCUG